UCAGGAACUACGAAGCAGUUCUGUCCUUUGUGCUGGGAAACAAUAACCACUGGAACUUGCUGUACACACAUGCACCAACAAGCACAGUGGACCUGGUGGAUCCAGCGCAAAGCCUGACAGAACUGAAGGCGUCUGAAGAUGCUGCUGAAGGAAUCAGGGAGCACCUCAAAGUAAGACCAACAUGUCUUGGAAAGACAGACUGGGUGGAUGUGCAGUGGAG